GGCCUCGUAGCUCAGUUGGCUAGAGCGUUGACUGGACUAAAGCCUUCCCCUUGCUGGCGUGGGUUCCAAUCCCAACAAGGCCU
rfam:Schistocephalus solidus strain NST_G2 genome assembly, scaffold: SSLN_scaffold0001262